rnacentral:misc_RNA from 1 species
GAUGAAGAACGCAGCGAAAUGCGAUAAGUAAUGUGAAUUGCAGAAUUCAGUGAAUCAUCGAAUCUUUGAACGCAUCUUGCGCUCCUUGGUAUUCUGAGGAGCAUGCCUGUUUGAGUGUCAUUAAAUUCUCAACUACACUGACUUUGAAUUGGUGUGGCUUGGAUUUGGGGGGAAAAUUGUUGUGGGCUUUUUGUAUAGUCUGCUCCCCUGAAAUUGAUUAGCGGUACCUUUGUGGAACUGUCUACAGGUGUGAUAAUUAUCUACAUCUUAGACAUCUGCUGGAAUGCUGCUUUCUAAACCUUACUUGUAUUGACAAUCUUGACCUCAAAUCAGGUAGGACUACCCGCUGAAUUUAAGCAUAUCAAUAAGCGGAGGA